rnacentral:rRNA from 1 species
UACGGAGGGAGCUAGCGUUGUUCGGAAUUACUGGGCGUAAAGCGCGCGUAGGCGGCUUUGUAAGUUAGAGGUGAAAGCCUGGAGCUCAACUUCAGAAUUGCCUUUAAGACUGCAUCGCUUGAAUCCGGGAGAGGUGAGUGGAAUUCCGAGUGUAGAGGUGAAAUUCGUAGAUAUUCGGAAGAACACCAGUGGCGAAGGCGGCUCACUGG